UGAACGUGCCUGUUUUACAAAACAAACAAACCCACCAAAAGUCAUGGGGAGUCUUUGGGUUGGUCGGUGUUGGGGCACAACUGUUUGCGUUGCAACAUCGCGACCGUAAUCGAAUCACCACAAAGGUGGCAAAGGAACAAUGGCGCCGUCUUCGUUGCCGCUUGGAAAAUUAAUUUUACUACAGGCAAAACUCCGUAUCACGGACAUAAUUCACCUUACCAUGUUUAUUGUUUAAGACUUAUACAUUCUUUACAACAUAUUACAACUUUAAGUGCCGCCUUCGGUGUUAUUGAAGGAUUUAAUAUGCAGCCCAACAUUCGUGUUCCCAUUGCUGUUGUAAUUUAUCUGUUGACAGGAUCUCUUUAUAAUAGUGUUGGUUCAUAAUUAAUAGAAACUCGUCUAUAAAGUACCUAAAUAAGCAUUAAUUAGGGCAAUCCCUGCACUCAGACAGGUAAUGCUUUAGUUCUCGACACAACGGGUCGUUCAACUCAACAAACAAAACUUAAAAAGAGGCGUUUCAAAAAGCAGUAAGUGCAGCACUCAAUGAAUCAAAUGAAUUGUGCAAAUAUUUCUCCAGGCAACGUUUUUAACUUUGCACACGCCACUGAACAAACCCAUUAAGGACGUACUAUUGAUCAUCAAACGACAUGAGGGUAAGCGCAAGCGUUCCAAAAAUCCUAUUAAAGCAAAAGUGUCACACUCAAAUAUUUACACAAGUGUCCGCGUAUGAGUGUUAUUUUGGUGGUGAAACCUAGCACAAAAUAUAUCGGAUAUGAAACAUGAUGAUUAUUAUUUGCAUACCAGUAAGAAAAAUAAUAAUAGGUUGGCUUGUUCAUGUCAAAGAAGUUCAAUCCGCUAUCCUAACCAGUAGAAUUCAGUUUAGAGAAGACCAGUCCUUAUCUUGACCAAACUAUCCACAUAUUCAUUUUUUUAUUAGCAUCAACAGCACGGUAACUGUACCACACGGGAAAUCUAAAGGCAUUCACAAAAAGUCCAAAAAGGGACACGUGUCGCCUUUGAAAAUUUGUCAAGUUCAGGCAGCACGCGACCUGGAAAUUCGAUAAAAACUGAACGACACCCACACCCAAAGAUUGUGUUGUUGCUCUGGUGACCCGACUUUUCCAGGAAGGGAACUAAAUUAAUUGCCACGCCGGGCGGCUGACUUUCGGAGACAAGAUCAUAAAACAAACUCUCAUCAUCAAGUGAGGGCGUCAUAAAAAGUAGUUUUAUUUCAGGAGGAAUACAAAUUAUAAAUUAUCACCCUGCCGUCAGCGGGUGGAUUGUGAAACUGUGCACCACUAUCGCUAUCGAAGAACAGGGCGCCCGAACCACCGCAAAAACCUCGCACAAAACCCGCUUGAGGUCCUUCCGGUUCCUGAUUUUUUGGUUCUCAGGCCACCCCCCACAGUUUUAUGCGGUAGUUGCAAUUUGGUCCAAUUGGUGGUCAAAAUGACGCAGCAGUGAGCGGCUCAAAACUAUCAGUCUGUGGCAAAAUGAUUCGAUUCGACGCUGUUCCAUUCUAACCCCCGCCAAACAGUGGGACAUUUUACUUUGUAAUGUGAAAUCAAUAAGUUGGCCAUUAAAUGCACGCUAGUCACGUAAGGCAAUUGAUAUCAUGUA